UUUAAAAUGAGAGUUUGAUCCUGGCUCAGGACGAACGCUGGCGGCGUGCCUAAUACAUGCAAGUCGAGCGAGCUUCCGUUAAUGAUUUGAGAUGCUUGCAUCAAAAUGAU
rnacentral:rRNA from 1 species